GCUGAGAUAGCUCAGUUGGUUAGAGCGUUCCCAUGGUAAGGGAGAGGUCGCGAGUUCGACUCUCGCUCUCAGCUCCA
rnacentral:tRNA from 1 species